CAGCGCCGCGGUAAUACGAAGGGUGCAAGCGUUAAUCGGAAUUACUGGGCGUAAAGCGUGCGUAGGCGGUUUGUUAAGUCUGCUGUGAAAUCCCCGGGCUCAACCUGGGAAUGGCAGUGGAUACUGGCAUGCUAGAGUGUGUCAGAGGAUGGUGGAAUUCCCGGUGUAGCGGUGAAAUGCGUAGAGAUCGGGAGGAGCAUCAGUGGCGAAGGCGGCCAUCUGGGACAACACUGACGCUGAGGCACGAAAGCGUGGGGAGCAAACAGGAUUAGAUACCCCCGUAGUCCCUGUCUCUUAUACC
rnacentral:rRNA from 1 species